rnacentral:rRNA from 1 species
GGAAUUUUGGACAAUGGGCGAAAGCCUGAUCCAGCAAUGCCGCGUGUAGGAUGAAGGCCCUCGGGUUGUAAACUACUUUUGUACGGAACGAAAAGCUCUCUUCUAAUAAAGGAGAGUGAUGACGGUACCGUAAGAAUAAGCACCGGCUAACUACGUGCCAGCAGCCGCGGUAAUACGUAGGGUGCGAGCGUUAAUCGGAAUUACUGGGCGUAAAGCGUGCGCAGGCGGUUAUGUAAGACAGAGGUGAAAUCCCCGGGCUCAACCUGGGAACGGCCUUUGUGACUGCAUAGCUAGAGUACGGUAGAGGGGGAUGGAAUUCCGCGUGUAGCAGUGAAAUGCGUAGAUAUGCGGAGGAACACCGAUGGCGAAGGCAAUCCCCUGGACCUGUACUGACGCUCAUGCACGAAAGCGUGGGGAGCAAACAGGAUUAGAUACCCCAG